rnacentral:rRNA from 1 species
ACCGGCAGCUCAAGUGGUGGCCAUUAUUAUUGGGCCUAAAGCGUUCGUAGCCGGUUUGAUAAGUCUCUGGUGAAAUCCCGCAGCUUAACUGUGGGACUUGCUGGAGAUACUAUCAGACUUGAGGUCGGGAGAGGUUAGGGGUACUCCCAGGGUAGGGGUGAAAUCCUAUAAUCCUGGUAUUUCCCCCUUUGUCUAGUGCGCCUAACUUUCCCCUUCCUCCCUUUCUCUUCCUCUUUCCCUUUUCUCUUUCCG